AAUCAACGCUGGCGGCGUGCCUCAGACAUGCAAGUCGAACGCGAAAGUCUCCUUCGGGAGACGAGUAGAGUGGCGCACGGGUGAGUAACACGUAGGUUAUCUACCUCCGAGUGGGGAAGUAACAGCCGGAAACGGCUGCUAAUACCGCAUAAUACCGAAAGGUACAAAGACUUUAUGUGCUUGGAGAGGAGCCUGCGGCAGAUUAGCUAGUUGGUAAGGUAAUGGCUUACCAAGGCGACGAUCUGUAUCCGGUCUAAGAGGACGGUCGGAC
rnacentral:rRNA from 1 species